rnacentral:rRNA from 1 species
UACGUAGGGUGCAAGCGUUGUCCGGAAUUAUUGGGCGUAAAGAGCUCGUAGGCGGUUUGUCGCGUCUGGUGUGAAAAUCCAGGGCUUAACCCUGGACCUGCAUCGGGUACGGGCAGACUAGAGUGCGGUAGGGGAGAUCGGAAUUCCUGGUGUAGCGGUGAAAUGCGCAGAUAUCAGGAGGAACACCGGUGGCGAAGGCGGGUCUCUGGGCCGAUACUGACGCUGAGGAGCGAAAGCGUUGGGGAGCAAACAGGAUUAGA